rnacentral:lncRNA from 1 species
UGGCCAAUCUCCCUGACCUCUGACCUCAUGCUCUGUGGUUCCUCUGCCUCAUCUCAUUCCAAGAAUGGAAUUACAAGUUGUUUGUCCUCCCACCCAACAUUCUAGAGAUUCUGAGAAUUGGACAGCUUACCACUCAAGCUUGGAUGAUAAGUAAGAACUUUAACCAUUGAGAAGUCUCCACAACCAAUAAUGAAAUAAUGACUUUGAAAACAUGAAUUAUCAAGUGUAGAAAGGCUUUAUUUUUAAAGAAGAGUGUGGUAUUCAUCAAGAUUGGGGAUAUGAGUUCUUCACUCAAGGUCACCUUUGCAGUGGGCACUCACUACCUGGGAUCUGGUGUUUUUCAGAUUCCUGAUCUGAGGAAAUAGUGUGAAGCCACAGGAAUGAAGCCAUGGAAACUAUUGUAAACAAAGGAAGAAGAACCACCAAGACUAAGCAACACUUGCACUCAACAGCAACGCUUUCAUGAAGAUUUCAUCCUUGUGCCUAUUUCUUCCAACUCUUUCCAGAGAACAAGAGGAUAGACAGAGGAUUGCCUGAUACACAGAGCCUAAUGGUGAAUUGCAGGCAGACAGUGUCUAAUCAGAUGGCAGCUGAGCCUGGAAGGCUGGGAGGAUGGGGGGGGCAUUCCUGAGGAGAGAUGAGGCUGCUAGCCUUUCUGCAUUGUCUGGGUUCUUUUCUCUCCCUGGGAUCAACAACAUAAACUAAGAUGGAGAAGGAGUCAGA